UCAGCCGUUAAGACCACCGUCAGCCCCGACUCCGUCAGCCGCCUCACCAUCGCAUAUCAUAUACCCUUGUUCGCUCCAGUCACGAUCGUCAUCGUCUCCUUGGACCACCAUCUGCACCAAACGCAAUUGGUAUAUCUAUAAUUAAGAGAGAAAAGUACCUUGUGGAAGGGAGAGAGAGAAAAGUACCUUGAUUAAGCUUCAAUAGCUCAAAAUUUCUGUUCAAUUUUGUACUAAAACCCUAAGUACUACUGCACCACUGCACCGUUCCUUUGUAACGAGAGAGAAG
rnacentral:lncRNA from 1 species